UACGUAGGGUGCGAGCGUUGUCCGGAAUUACUGGGCGUAAAGAGCUCGUAGGUGGUUUGUCGCGUUGUCCGUGAAAACUCACAACUCAAUUGUGGGCGUGCGGGCGAUACGGGCAGACUGGAGUACUGCAGGGGAGACUGGAAUUCCUGGUGUAGCGGUGGAAUGCGCAGAUAUCAGGAGGAACACCGGUGGCGAAGGCGGUUCUCUGGGACGGUACUGACGCUGAGACGCGAAAGCGUGGGGAGCGAACAGG
rnacentral:rRNA from 1 species